UACGUAGGGUGCGAGCGUUGUCCGGAAUUAUUGGGCGUAAAGGGCUCGUAGGCGGUCUGUCACGUCGGGAGUGAAAACUCGGGGCUCAACCCCGAGCCUGCUUCCGAUACGGGCAGACUAGAGGUAUGCAGGGGAGAAUGGAAUUCCUGGUGUAGCGGUGAAAUGCGCAGAUAUCAGGAGGAACACCCGUGGCGAAAGCGGCUCUCUGGGACGGUACUGACGCUGAGACGCGAAAGCGUGGGUAGCAAACAGG
rnacentral:rRNA from 1 species